UACAGGGGGGGCAAGCGUUGUUCGGAAUUACUGGGCGUAAAGGGCUCGUAGGUGGCCAACUAAGUCAGACGUGAAAUCCCUCAGCUUAACUGGGGAACUGCGUCUGAUACUGGAUGGCUUGAGUUUGGGAGAGGGAUGCGGAAUUCCAGGUGUAGCGGUGAAAUGCGUAGAUAUCUGGAGGAACACCGGUGGCGAAGGCGGCGUCCUGGACCAAUACUGACACUGAGUGAGCGAAAGCCAGGGGAGCAAACGGG
rnacentral:rRNA from 1 species